rnacentral:piRNA from 1 species
UGGCAUCUCAUCCAAGGCCAUGGGCAUC